GGUUCUUUGUUGGCUGUUCAAAGGAUGGUGUGUAGGGGUAGAGGGAGACGACAAGCACAGAUAAGGGGGAAGGGAUGGCGCCGGCUCCGGCGCCGGCCUCGCCGGUGACGACGGCAGUAUAUUUUUGGAGAAACAAAUGCCUCCUUUGUUAACAAUAUUUAAGAUUCAUUAAACAUGUGGGACAUACUCUAAUACAACUCUCCUUAAUACCCGUGCCGAAAAG
rnacentral:lncRNA from 1 species